GUCUUUUUGAAUUUAAUUUAAAGUCUGAUCUGCCCCCUGAUUUAUUAAAUGGCCGCAGUAUAUUAACUGUGCAAAGGUAGCAUAAUCAUUAGUUUUUUAAUUGGAGACUUGUAUGAAUGAUUGGACGAGAUAUAAGCUGUUUCAGGAAAAUGUAUAGAAUUUUAUUUUUUAGUUAAAAAGCUAAAAUUUUAUUAAAAGACGAGAAGACCCUAUAGAUCUUUAUAAUUAUAUAAUUAUUAGCUUAUAAGAUUUUUUUUGCAAUAGUUGUUUUAUUAUUUUAUUGGGGUGAUAUUGAAAUUUGAAAAACUUUUGAUUAAGUUUAUUCCAUUGAUUUAUGAAUAAAUGAUCCAUUUUUAGUGAUUAAAAAUUUAAGUUACCUUAGGGAUAACAGCGUAAUUAUUUUGGAGAGUUCUUAUCGAUAAAAUAGUUUGCGACCUCGAUGUUGGAUUAAGAUUAAUUCUAGGCGUAGUCGUUUAGAGUAUUAAGUCUGUUCGACUUUUAAUUUCUU
rnacentral:rRNA from 1 species